rnacentral:rRNA from 1 species
AUUGAACGCUAGCGGCAUGCUUUACCCAUGCAAGUCGAACGGCAGCGCGGGCUUCGGCCUGGCGGCGAGUGGAGAACGGGUGAGUAAUAUAUCGGAACGUACCCAAGAGUGGGGGAUAACGUAGCGAAAGUUACGCUAAUACCGCAUACGAUCUCAGGAUGAAAGCAGGGGACCGCAAGGCCUUGUGCUCCUGGAGCGGCCGAUAUCUGAUUAGCUAGUUGGUGAGGUAAAGGCUCACCAAGGCAACGAUCAGUAGCUGGUCCGAGAGGACGACCAGCCACACUGGAACUGAGACACGGUCCAGACUCCUACGGGAGGCAGCAGUGGGGAAUUUUGGACAAUGGGGGCAACCCUGAUCCAGCAAUGCCGCGUGAGUGAAGAAGGCCUUCGGGCUGUAAAGCUCUUUUGUCAGGGAAGAAAAGGGAGUGGCUAAUAUCCAUUCCUGCUGACGGUACCUGAAGAAUAAGCACCGGCUAACUACGUGCCAGCCGCCGCAGUAAUAC